GGAACAGCUGCUGCCUGGCCUGGAGCAGAGCGGGCCUCCCUUCCUGCGUCUCUAACUGCACAGCAGGGACUUCCAGCUGGGGAAGGACAUUGUGAACAACAUCACAGACAGCCACUACAGCAGCCACCACACCCUGUGUGUGAUGAGUCAUCACUACCUGCACAGUAACUGAUGCUCCCUGGAGCUGUGACUGGCCACCCUGCGUCUGCUGGUGGAGCACAGUGUAGCUAUUGUCGUCGGGAGAAGGAGAAGAGGACCAAGAUGCAGCGUGGAUCAUCGACCAAGCUCAUCAUCGCCAUUGACUUGGCCAAGGGCAUGGAAUACCUGCACAACCUCACCCAGCCUAUCAUCCACAGGGACCACAACAAGUCAAUGCGGAAGUCAUAUUCUACUCAAUGAGGAUGGACAUGACGUGGUGGCCAACUUUGGAGAAUCCAAGUUCCUGUCACCUGAGGUUGUGGACAAUAUGACCAAGCAGCCCGGGGUUAGUCCAACUUCCUUAUUCACCAUACUAUAAAUUACUUCAUAAUGUGAAUUAGGACCUGGAGGAAACUGCACUCAG
ensembl:lncRNA